CGCCGUUAACCUCUCACACCUGUGCACCUUUUCGGUUGCGGUUUCGGCCGCUUCCGCUUUUACAUGCAACCACGAAAAGUCUAGAAUGUGAAGAAAACUAUAAAGUAACAACUUUCAACAACGGAUCUCUUGGCUCUCGCAUCGAUGAAGAACGCA
rnacentral:rRNA from 1 species